rnacentral:rRNA from 1 species
GUAGGUGGCAAGCGUUGUCCGGAAUUAUUGGGCGUAAAGCGCGCGCGGGCGGUCCUUUAAGUCUGAUGUGAAAGCCCACGGCUCAACCGUGGAGGGUCAUUGGGAACUGGGGGACUUGAGUACAGAAGAGGAAAGCGGAAUUCCAAGUGUAGCGGUGAAAUGCGUAGAGAUUUGGAGGAACACCAGUGGCGAAGGCGGCUUUCUGGUCUGUAACUGACGCUGAGGCGCGAAAGCGUGGGGAGCAAACAGGAUUAGAUACCCUGGUAGUCCACGCCGUAAACGAUGAGUGCUAAGUGUUAGGGGGUUUCCCGCCCCCCUUAGUGCUGCAGCUAACGCAUUAAGCACUCCGCCUGGGGAGUACGGCCGCAAGGCUG